AGGCAUGAGCGUCUUCUGGCUGCAACAUCUGUCACCCCAUUGAUCACAAAGGCUGAUUCAACUGAUACGGCUAGCUAGGCAGAUGUCUUCUCUUUUACCACUCCAUGAACAUCCCUCCCAAAACUGUGUACUGGGUCAACAAAGCUGACGAUCCUCAAUAGGAAAGGGCCAUUCUUUAAUCAAGGGUACACUGGCAGCUGCACCUCCCUGCUAGAGCUUCCAAACUAUCAAGAAAUGCCAAACCUCUAUUU
rnacentral:sRNA from 1 species